UUUCAAAGUCAAAAAAAGAGC
rnacentral:piRNA from 1 species